UACGGGAGGCAGCAGUGGGGAAUAUUGCACAAUGGGGGAAACCCUGAUGCAGCCAUGCCGCGUGUGUGAAGAAGGACCUUCGGGUUGUUAAAGCACUUUCAGUAGGGAGGAAGGGUAGUGUAGUUAACACCUGCAUUAUUUGACGUUACCUACAGAAGAAGCACCGGCUAACUCCGUGCCAGCAGCCGCGGUAAUACGGAGGGUGCGAGCGUUAAUCGGAAUUACUGGGCGUAAAGCGCAUGCAGGCGGCCUGUUAAGUCAGAUGUGAAAGCCCGGGGCUUAACCUCGGAAUUGCAUUUGAAACUGGCAGGCUAGAGUCUUGUAGAGGGGGGUAGGAAUUUCAGGUGUAGCGGUGAAAUGCGUAGAGAUCUGAAGGAAUACCAGUGGCGAAGGCGGCCCCCUGGACAAAGACUGACGCUCAGAUGCGAAAGCGUGGGGAGCAAACAGGAUUAGAUACCCUGGUAG
rnacentral:rRNA from 1 species